AUACGGAGGGUGCAAGCGUUAUUCGGAAUCACUGGGCGUAAAGGGUGCGUAGGCGGUUUGAUAAGUCUGAUGUGAAAUCCUAUGGCUCAACCAUAGAACAGCAUUGGAAACUGUCAGACUAGAAUACUGAAGGGGCAGAUGGAAUUAGUGGUGUAGGGGUAAAAUCCGUAGAUAUCACUAGGAAUACCGAAAGCGAAAGCGAUCUGCUGGGAAGUUAUUGACGCUGAGGCACGAAAGCGUGGGGAGCAAACGGGAUUAGAAACCCUAGUAGUCC
rnacentral:rRNA from 1 species